AUUCAGUGAGUGAUGUAAAAAAAGUAAAUGUCUAACAUAUUAAUUUAAUAUUAAUUUUAGCAUUUAACUCAUUUAAA